UCGUACAAGGGCAAACCCGUCGCGAGGCGGGGACGCAAAGCUUCCGGUCUUGGUCGGGUUGCAUCCGGGUCAAGAUAGCGGGGCUGCCAGAU
rnacentral:ncRNA from 1 species